UACGUAGGUGGCAAGCGUUGUCCGGAAUGAUUGGGCGUAAAGGGCGCGCAGGCGGCUGUGUAAGUCUGUCUAGAAAGUGCGGGGCUAAACCCCGUGAGAGGAUGGAAACUGGACAGCUGAGAGUGUCGGAGAGGAAAGCGGAAUUCCUAGUGUAGCGGUGAAAUGCGUAGAUAUUAGGAGGAACACCGGUGGCGAAAGCGGCUUUCUGGACGACAACUGACGCUGAGGCGCGAAAGCCAGGGGAGCAAACGGG
rnacentral:rRNA from 1 species